UACGUAGGUGGCAAGCGUUGUCCGGAUUUACUGGGCGUAAAGAGCGCGCAGGCGGUCGUUCAAGUCGAGUGUGAAAGCCCCCGGCUCAACUGGGGAGGGUCACUCGAUACUGAUCGACUCGAAGGCAGAAGAGGGAAGCGGAAUUCCCGGUGUAGUGGUGAAAUGCGUAGAUAUCGGGAGGAACACCAGUGGCGAAAGCGGCGCGCUGGACCACUACUGACGCUGAGGAAC
rnacentral:rRNA from 1 species